UGUGUACUCCCUUCGUUCCAAAAUACUUGACUUCCAUUUGUCCAAAAAUGGAUGUACCUAUAUACUAAAACAUGUCUAGAUACACAUAUAUUUUGACAAAUAGAAGGCAUGUAUUGUGCAACGGAGGGAGUAGAAU
rnacentral:pre_miRNA from 1 species